rnacentral:rRNA from 1 species
UACGGAGGAUCCAAGCGUUAUCCGGAAUCAUUGGGUUUAAAGGGUCCGUAGGCGGUUUGGUAAGUCAGUGGUGAAAGCCCAUCGCUCAACGGUGGAACGGCCAUUGAUACUGCCAGACUUGAAUUAUUAGGAAGUAACUAGAAUAUGUAGUGUAGCGGUGAAAUGCUUAGAGAUUACAUGGAAUACCAAUUGCGAAGGCAGUUGACUACUAAUGGAUUGACGCUGAUGGACGAAAGCGUGGGUAGCGAACAGG